rnacentral:rRNA from 1 species
UACGGGGCGAGUCUGAUGCAGCCAUGCCGCGUGUGUGAAGACGGCCUUCGGGUUGUAAAGCUCUUUUUUUGUGAGGAAAGGUUAGUAGUUAAUACCUGCUAACUGUGACGUUAGCAACAGAGAAAGCACCGGCUAACUCCGUGCCAGCAGCCGCGGUAAUACGGACGGUGCGAGCGUUAAUCCGAUUUACUGGGCGUAAAGCGUACGCGGCGGUUGAUUAAACGAGAUGUGAAAGCCCCGGGCUCAACCUGGGAACUGCAUUUCGAACUGGUCAACUAAAGUGUGAUAGAGGGUGGUAUAAUUUCAGGUGUAGCGGUGAAAUGCGUAGAGAUCUGAAAGAAUACCGAUGGCCAAGGCACCCACCUGGGUCAACACUGACGCUCAUGUACGAAAGCGUGCGGAGCAAAUGGGAUUCAUACCCCCUCAGUCA